ACACCAACAGCAGGGAAUGGCAGAAUUAUGUGUGGUGAAUCCCCCUAAGCGGCGGGGUCAAGCUGACAUGAGGGAACCCUCAAUGUAUUUCGUUUUUAUGGACGGAUUGAGAAAUCGGCGCUCAAUUCACCGGGAGGCACCCGGCACCACACGCCUAUUUUAAUUAUGCAUUUUAUCGACCCAACUGCUUAGUGGC
rnacentral:sRNA from 1 species